UACGUAGGGGGCAAGCGUUGUCCGGAAUCAUUGGGCGUAAAGAGCGUGUAGGCGGCUCGGUAAGUCCGCUGUGAAAGUCCAGGGCUCAACCCUGGAAUGCCGGUGGAAACUGUCGAGCUCGAGUCCGGAAGAGGCGAGUGGAAUUCCUGGUGUAGCGGUGAAAUGCGCAGAUAUCAGGAGGAACACCAGUGGCGAAGGCGGCUACCUGGACCAGCACUGACACUGAGGCACGAAAGCGUGGGGAGCAAACAGG
rnacentral:rRNA from 1 species